GAAAGAUGAAAAGAACUUUGAAAAGAGAGUUAAACAGUACGUGAAAUUGUUGAAAGGGAAACGAUUGAAGUCAGUCAUACCAACGGGAAAUCAACCUUUUGAGCUCGGUCUCGUGGGUUUUGAAGAGUUUCAAAGCCUUCGGAUUCGCGGGAUUGGGAUCUCUUGGUGUACUUUCUCGUACGGUUAGUCAACAUCGGUUUUGAAUGUCAUAAAAUGACUGGAGGAAUGUAGCUUCGAUCUCGUAUUGAAGUGUUAUA
rnacentral:rRNA from 1 species